rnacentral:rRNA from 1 species
UACGGGGGGGGCAAGCGUUGUUCGGAAUUACUGGGCGUAAAGGGCUCGUAGGCGGCCAACUAAGUCAUACGUGAAAUCCCUCGGCUUAACCGGGGAACUGCGUCUGAUACUGGAUGGCUUGAGAUUGGGAGAGGGAUGCGGAAUUCCAGGUGUAGCGGUGAAAUGCGUAGAUAUCUGGAGGAACACCGGUGGCGAAGGCGGCGACCUGGUCCGAUACUGACGCUGAGGCGCGAAAGCGUGGGGAGCAAACAGG